GACAGAGGGUGCAAACGUUGUUCGGAAUUACUGGGCGUAAAGCGCGUGUAGGCGGCUAAGUAAGUCGGGCGUGAAAUCCCACGGCUCAACCGUGGAAGUGCACUCGAAACUGCAUAGCUAGAGUCCUGGAGAGGAAGGUGGAAUGCUUGGUGUAGAGGUGAAAUUCGUAGAUAUCAAGCGGAACACCGGUGGCGAAGGCGGCCUUCUGGACAGUGACUGACGCUGAGACGCGAAAGCUAGGGUAGCAAACGGG
rnacentral:rRNA from 1 species